UUGUCUACCAGCAAUAGGAGCCAUUAUGACAUUGCACGUUCAACUGUCUGAAGCGAACCACUUGUGGACAAAGAUUCGCUCCUCUGUAACCGGGCUGGAGGCUAGUGGUUGCUCCUGGCUCGGUUAUUUCAGAAUCUGUAUUAGAUCCGGUAGCUCAGACAGUGACUCAGAGCCCUGGCGGGGCUGCCAGGGGGCAGAUAAAGGCAGAAGUAAAUGUAGCAGAUCGAUGUCGUUAGGGAGUGAAGGGCGGGCGGAGGGGGAAAACAGAUCAGAACACGCCCUAUUAACCUAAAUGUUGUAUUAUCAUUGUGGCCUACGGUCCUUCCCUUCAGGCUGCAGGAAGGGAAGUGGAGGUGGGGGGAGCAGAGGAAGAAACGCGUCAGAAGGUGACUGCUUUGUGGGAUCCGGGAAAUAAACACUAUGCAUCUCUCCCAGGCAGCAGCGAGCAAUGUGGUCUCUGUGUGUGUGUUCGUGUGACAAAGCCUAGCCGCCGUGAGCGAUCGCUCUCCUGCCUCAGCCAAGGGGGAGGAGAGGAGGAUAGAGGAAGUGAGGAGGUUUCUAAAUGUAGAGGCAUCGUAGCAGGUCCCAGACUGAGGGAGAAAGAGUCCAUCCAUUGGUAGGACGAUUCUGUUUAACCAGGUGGAACCGCGUUGCAGCGAGCACCUGUGUCUUUUUCGACAAGGCGUGUACUGAUAAUUAGAGCAGUUAAUUGCAUUUCCUUGAAGGUCCUUUGAAGUUACACGCUGGGUUUUCUUCUCGUGCUAGCAGACAGUGCAUUUGCUGUGUUUAAAAUGUAAAUCAGAGGGUAUCCGCAUAAACCUGUGUCAUGGGAUCGAGGCGUAAUGGAUUCACGUUGGCUGUGUCUGAGGCGAACAGUUCGGCUUUGGUUCUGCCUGCUCUCUUCGGGAUCCCGAUGGGGGAAGGGAGCGGUUGGCCAGAAGUCCCCUUCAAAGCAGGCAUGUGGGAGAGAGAUUGUCACCGCCUGACCGGAGCUGCAGGCAGGCGGAAAGAGUGCUGCGGGGGAGGUCUCACAGACAUGUUCUUGCGGGAAGAGCCCAGUCAAUUUGGCAUCUCUGCUGGGAGGAUUGCAAAGCUCUGAACAAAUAUCAGUUAUGCUCACAGCACACCUGUGAGUAUCAGCAAAGAUGACUUCACAACCCCUCUGGGUGAGGCCUGCUUGCUCCAUUUUCAUCACCCCAUGUGGUUGCAUGACCCUGUAAGAGGCAUUAUACCUGUCUGGGUCCCUUUUAUCUUAAAUCAUAAAAUAUGUGCACAAAUUGCCCCCAGACACUCUGUGAAUAGUCUUGACUCAGGGUUAUCGUGGGUCGUCUAGAAUUGGCAGUCAGCGGAGGAUGCAGUAACAAGAUUAGAGGCAUCUUGAAACCUUGUGGGAGAGGAGGGAUCCGGGAGAGAAAUUAAGAUGAAAAUUCUCCAUAAAUACUUGCACCUAAAAGAGCAAACAAAGUGGG